rnacentral:tRNA from 1 species
GGCUUGCUGGUCUAGUGAUAUGAUUCUUGCUUUGGGUGCGAAAGGUCACGGGUUCGAUUCCCGUGCAAGCCC